ACUGCAGGAGGAUUUCAGUGAUUCAUCAGGGGUACACAGAUGGCUCUAUCCUAGAAAUGUUCAUGCUUGAUUUCCAUGAGAUGCUCUUAAGCCCCUGUCAGCCUCUAGAAAGUCUUCUCAGAGCCUUUAAUAAGCUAAUGUACAUUGUGGAUCUCCAGGGGGAAAACUUAUACAGCAGGCUUCUAGGAGAAGACAAGAUAUGGAAAAUAGAACUGUGGACUG